rnacentral:lncRNA from 1 species
GAAUUUUGUUGGUCAACAAGCCGCCGUCAGCGCCGUCGGGCAGCGUGUUUCCAUAGCUAUCCGCGGAGAGGGGCAUCUUCAGGUGGUGUGACGCCGAAUCUCCUUUUUAAAGGACUCAGCCUAAAUGUACUCCCAGAUUAUCCCAGCGAAGGCUAAGAGGCCACGGAAAACAAGGAGCAAGUUCUGUUUAGAGCUUCUGGUCCCCGUCUGCACCAUUGUCAUCAGAAACCAGGGAGCAUUUGUCUGGUCCUCCCUUGGAUUGCAACAUAUUUCUGUUUUCUUACCAUAUAGACUCAUCCCAGUUUGUUUCUAAGCGAAUUGCUUUUUUGUUCAUGUUGCAUAUUCCCUAAACAGUCGUAUUAGUGGUGACAGCAUGUCAUCUUGAUGGUGUUAUGACAGUAUGACGCCAAACUAGUAUUAACAUAACAUUUCUUUUUAAAUCUUGUCUGAAAACAUAUUGUUCUCCCUUGCCAGCACUUCUCUGUUUCUCUCACCCUUUACCAUGGGUUCUGGGUUGCCUUUUUUGUUUCAUCUCAGUUGUUUCAAGCGGGCUGAUACGCAGCAGAUACAGAGGCAUUUUCCUGAUAAUUCGGGUGAUGAGAUGAAGGGAGAGAAGAAUGAACCUGUUUGCCCAAGGCUGUGCAGAAGCUUUUGCUGGGGGAAAGCCCCAAGCCCACAUUUCCCUGGAUAGCAUCCUCCUUCCUCUUAUGCUUCGCCUUGCUCAGAUUUAUUGAGUUUAGAUUUUUGAAGUUUAGGCUUCAAGAUCCCCAUCACUACCACGGAAUUAUUUCUAUUUUUUCUACAUUUUCUUCUACAGCCUCAAUUAAAAGGUGGACUCUGAUGUCCCCCAAAUGGUGAAGUCAGUCUUAAAUUCCAGAAAGCUCGUGAAGAGAGGAGAGCUGUAAGUCGGGGGGACGAGGAGCCCUCUGUGUGCACGGGCGGGAUGAGCAGAUGCUCUUACUUCUUUGAAUGUCCUGCUUUUCUGAUGUGAGGUCUGAGGGAUGCUCGCUCAGAGAUUGAGCUGGUUUGGUUGGGAAAUCAAAAUUGUCUGCUAGAUGGCAGGCAUUUUUUAGAAGGAAAAUAAAAUAGAGAAAUAGAGUUGGGUUUUU